UAGAGUUUGAUCAUGGCUCAGAUUGAACGUUGGCGGCAGGCCUAAUACAUGCAAGUCGAGCGGAAACGAUGGGAGCUUGCUCCCAGGCGUCGAGCGGCGGACGGGUGAGUAACGCGUAGGAAUCUACCCAGUAGCGGGGGAUAGCCCGAGGAAACUCGGAUUAAUACCGCAUACGCCCCACGGGGGAAAGGCCGGGAUCUUCGGACCGGUCACUAUUGGAGGAGCCUGCGUAGGAUUAGCUUGUUGGUGAGGUAAAGGCUCACCAAGGCUACGAUCCUUAGCUGGUCUGAGAGGACGAUCAGCCACACUGGAACUGAGACACGGUCCAGACUCCUACGGGAGGCAGCAGUAGGGAAUAUUGUGCAAUGGGCGAAAGCCUGACACAGCCAUGCCGCGUGUGUGAAGAAGGCCCUAGGGUUGUAAAGCACUUUCAGUAGGGAGGAAUUAGUAGGGUUAAUAACUCUGCGAAAUGACGUUACCUACAGAAGAAGCACCGGCAAACUCCGUGCCAGCAGCCGCGGUAAUACGGAGGGUGCGAACGUUAAUCGGAAUUACUGGGCGUAAAGCGCGCGUAGGUGGUUUAUUAAGUGGGAUGUGAAAGCCCCGGGCUUAACCUGGGAACUGCAUUCCAAACUGAUGAACUAGAGUACUGUAGAGGGGGGUAGACUUUCA
rnacentral:rRNA from 1 species